ACCAAGUAACAUAUUAAUAAAGUAACAUAUUAAUAGACUUACUUGCAUAGGACUUGAUGAAUAAUACUGUAAGACUGUAACAUUUUUUUGUCUCUCUUUCAGCUUCCUAUUUGCUUAUUUCACUGCUGUGUCUUAUACUUCAUGUCUGGGCUUGAGCUAUGGCGUGAGUUAUUCCUUUUUUAUUUGAAUUUAAGACAUUCCCACCCUCUUUCAUCACCAUGGACUGGUCCCUACAUUCAACCAUUAUGUAAUUUUUUAUUUAAUAUAAUAAUUUCAGGUUUAACAUCUGAAGGUCAUAUGCAUGUCUGAUUGCUUGUAAUCUUUGUGUCUCACAAAUGCUUUUGCAUGCAUGGCCUCACAUGCCUGUGACUUAGGAGUACGCUUUGUUGUUUCAUUGGCCAUUUAUCCAUCAUAACAAUGAAAAUUGUUUGUUUGGCUGCUUUUGCAGGAUGAGGAUGGUAAUAAGAUG
rnacentral:misc_RNA from 1 species